rnacentral:rRNA from 1 species
UACGAAGGGGGCUAGCGUUGCUCGGAAUCACUGGGCGUAAAGCGCACGUAGGCGGAUCUUUAAGUCAGGGGUGAAAUCCUGGAGCUCAACUCCAGAACUGCCUUCGAUACUGGGAGUCUCGAGUUCGGGAGAGGUGAGUGGAACUGCGAGUGUAGAGGUGAAAUUCGUAGAUAUUCGCAAGAACACCAGUGGCGAAGGCGGCUCACUGGCCCGAUACUGACGCUGAGGUGCGAAAGCGUGGGGAGCAAACAGG